rnacentral:rRNA from 1 species
UACGUAGGGUGCGAGCGUUAAUCGGAAUUACUGGGCGUAAAGCGUGCGCAGGCGGUUUUGUAAGCCAGAUGUGAAAUCCCCGGGCUUAACCUGGGAAUGGCAUUUGGGACUGCAAGGCUUGAGUGCGGCAGAGGAGACUGGAAUUCCUGGUGUAGCAGUGAAAUGCGUAGAUAUCAGGAGGAAUACCGAAGGCGAAGGCAGGUCUCUGGGCUGACACUGACGCUCAUGCACGAAAGCGUGGGGAGCAAACAGG